rnacentral:rRNA from 1 species
UACGGAGGGUCCAAGCGUUAUCCGGAAUCAUUGGGUUUAAAGGGUCCGCAGGCGGAUUUGUAAGUCAGUGGUGAAAUCCUACAGCUUAACUGUAGAACUGCCAUUGAUACUGCAAGUCUUGAAUUCGGUCGAAGUGGGCGGAAUAUGUCAUGUAGCGGUGAAAUGCUUAGAUAUGACACAGAACGCCGAUUGCGAAGGCAGCUUACUAAGCCAUUACUGACGCUGAGGCACGAAAGCGUGGGGAGCGAACAGG